rnacentral:rRNA from 1 species
GAUGAACGCUGGCGGCGUGCCUAAUACAUGCAAGUCGAGCGAACGGACGAGAAGCUUGCUUCUCUGAUGUUAGCGGCGGACGGGUGAGUAACACGUGGAUAACCUACCUAUAAGACUGGGAUAACUUCGGGAAACCGGAGCUAAUACCGGAUAAUAUUUUGAACCGCAUGGUUCAAAAGUGAAAGACGGUGUUGCUGUCACUUAUAGAUGGAUACGCGCUGCAUUAGCUAGUUGGUAAGGUAACGGCUUACCAAGGCAACGAUGCAUAGCCGACCUGAGAGGGGGGUCGCCCACACUGGAACGUAGACACGGACCAGACUCCUACGGGAGGGAGCAGUAGGGAACCUUCCGCAAUGGUCGAAAGCCUGACGGAGCAGCGCCGCGUGAGUGAUGAAGGCGUUCGGAUCGUAAAACUCUGUUAUGAGGGAAGAACAGAUGUGUAAGUAACUGUGCAGAUCGUGACGGUACCUAAUCAGAAAGCAACGGCUAACUACGUG